rnacentral:rRNA from 1 species
GACGGGACCCGCACAAGCGGUGGAUGAUGUGGAUUAAUUCGAUGCAACGCGAAAACCUUACCUACCCUUGACAUGUCUGGAAUCUUGGUGAGAGCCGAGGGUGCCUUCGGGAGCCAGAACACAGGUGCUGCAUGGCUGUCGUCAGCUCGUGUCGUGAGAUGUUGGGUUAAGUCCCGCAACGAGCGCAACCCUUGUCACUAGUUGCCAUCACUUGGUUGGGCACUCUAGUGAGACUGCCGGUGACAAACCGGAGGAAGGUGGGGAUGACGUCAAGUCCUCAUGGCCCUUAUGGGUAGGGCUUCACACGUCAUACAAUGGUCGGUACAGAGGGUUGCCAAGCCGCGAGGUGGAGCCAAUCCCUUAAAGCCGAUCGUAGUCCGGAUCGUAGUCUGCAACUCGACUGCGUGAAGUCGGAAUCGCUAGUAAUCGUGGAUCAGCAUGUCACGGUGAAUACGUUCCCGGGUCUU